rnacentral:rRNA from 1 species
ACACGGAGGGCGCAAGCGUUGCUCGGAAUCACUGGGCGUAAAGCGGGUGUAGGCGGUCUAGCAAGUCAGAUGUGAAAGCCCACGGCUCAACCGUGGAAGUGCAUCUGAAACUGCUAGACUUGAGUGCCGGAGAGGGGAGUGGAAUUCCUGGUGUAGGGGUGAAAUCCGUAGAUAUCAGGAGGAACACCGGUGGCGAAGGCGACUUCCUGGACGGCCACUGACGCUGAGACCCGAAAGCGUGGGGAGCAAACAGGAUUAGAAACCCUUGUAGUCC